rnacentral:lncRNA from 1 species
AUGCACAAGAGUUAAAAUGAUUUACCAAAGUGGUGAGAGUGCAGGACAAGAGAGAAAGGAUGCAAAAGAAGCGAAGUAGCCUCUAGUUGCAUCAGGGGCAUAGUAUUGUCCAAUUUGUGAGAGNCCNUAAACUGUCUCAGUGGCACCAUGUUGUGUGGUGCGUGUUGAACUGGUGAGAACAGAAUAACUAGCAAGCAAACGCAGCAUGCGAUCAAGCCUAUUGGGCAAGUCAGGGUGCUGGUUUGGGAGCUUAGAAGCAAUUUCAUGAGAUGACAUGAAUGAACCGUGUGGUGUUCCCUUGCCUAUGAUAUCAAACAAGUUGAGCUCAAUGGCGGCAUUGAGAACUGCAGGGUACACCACAGUGGUACUAAGCAACAUUGCAGAUAGACGAGUACCUUCAUCACAUUUUUUGGGACAAGUUGUAAAGAGGUUAUUGGUGCUAACAACAGUGGAUUCCCCCAUUCUUGACUCUUAAUUUAACUCUAAGUAUCUUUGGUUUCUGGUUUGUUUACAAUUUGCCUGCUUAAUUUGCUCUUGGGUGUGCUCUUUUUAUAGGUGUUUGUAG